AACGAACGCUGGCGGCAUGCCUAACACAUGCAAGUCGAACGAGACCUUCGGGUCUAGUGGCGCACGGGUGCGUAACGCGUGGGAACCUGCCCUUAGGUUCGGAAUAACUCCCCGAAAGGGGUGCUAAUACCGGAUAAUGUCCUCGGACCAAAGAUUUAUCGCCUUUGGAUGGGCCCGCGUUGGUUUAGCUAGUUGGUAGGGUAAAAGCCUAUCAAGGCGACGAUCCAUAGCUGGUCAGAGAGGAUGAUCAGCCACACUGGGGCUGGGACACGGCCCAGAAUACUAGAGGAGGGAGGAGUGGGGAAUAUAGGAAAAUGGGGGGAGGCCUGAACCAGCAAUGCCGGGUGAGUGAUGAAGGCCUUAGGGUUGUAAAGCUCUUUUACCCGGGAUGAUAAUGACAGUACCGGGAGAAUAAGCUCCGGCUAACUCCGUG
rnacentral:rRNA from 1 species